UAAAAUUAAUUUACUAUAUUUAUAUUUAUGUUAUAAUUUUAUAUAAAUCAUUUAAUUGUUAUUGUAUUUGUUAGGGAUUUAAUUAUUUAUAGUAAUAUUUUAUUAGUACUGUGAAGGAAAAAAAGGGAGAAGAUUAGAAUUAAUUAAUAAAGUUUAUUAUUUUAUAAGUUGAAUUUUUUUUUGUACCUUGUGUCUCAGGGUUGAUUAAUAAUAAUUUAUUUAUAUUAAUUUUCUCGAUUUUUUUAGAGUUAAUAAAUUGAUUUAUUUAUUGUUGAAUAAUAUAUUGAUAAUAAUUUGUUGGUAGUGAAAUGUUAAUCGUUAAAGAGGAUAUCUAGUUUUUUGGGAAAUAAAUUUAAUUUAAAUUCUUUCUAUAAUAAUUUUUUUUAAAAAUUGGUUUUAAGUUAGAAUUAAUAUUUAAGGGGAUAAGCUCUUUAUUAAAUUUUUAUAAGGAUUUUUUUAUUUAAAGUUAUAUGAAUUUAAUAGUUAUUAUUAUUUAAAGUAUGUUAAAGUAUUAUUUUUUUAUAUCGUGAUUUUUUUUUCUUUAAAGUUUUACUAGAAAUUUUUAAUUAAUUUUUUGUUAAUUGAAAUUAUGGUUAAAUUAGUAUAUUUAUUUUAUAAAAUUUUAUAUUUGUAAAGUUAAUUUGAGGAACUAGGCAAAUUUGAAUUAUUCGCCUGUUUAACAAAAACAUCUCUUCUUGAUUAAUUAGGAAGUAUAACCUGCCCAAUGAAAAUUUUAAUGGCCGCAGUAUACUGACUGUGCAAAGGUAGCAUAAUCAUUAGUCUUUUAAUUGGAGGCUGGAAUGAAUGGUUGGACGAGAUAAUAACUAUCUUAAUUUAAUUUAUUUUGAAUUUAAUUAUUGAGUAAGAAAGCUUAAAUAAUUUUUUGGGACGAGAAGACCCUAUAGAGUUUAAUAUUUUUUUUUAUUUAUUAUAUUUGUUAAUAAAGAGAUUCUGGAAUAUAUUUUGUUGGGGUGAUGUGAAGAUAAUUAAAACUCUUUUUAUAAAUUAUUUAUAAAUUUAUAUAUAAUUGAUCCACAAUUAGUGAUUAUAAGACUAAAUUACCUUAGGGAUAACAGCGUAAUUUUAUUUGAGAGUUCAUAUCGACAAUAAAGAUUGCGACCUCGAUGUUGGAUUAAGAUUAUUCUUAGGUGUAGAAGUUUAAGUAUUAGGUCUGUUCGACCUUUAAAAUCUUACAUGAUCUGAGUUCAAACCGGCGUGAGCCAGGUUGGUUUCUAUCUAAUAUAAAAUAAAAUAUUUUAGUACGAAAGGACCAAAUAUUUGGAAUAAUUUUUAUUUUGUGAUUAUUAAUAACU
rnacentral:rRNA from 1 species